UAAUACGUAGGGUCCGAGCGUUGUCCGGAAUUAUUGGGCGUAAAGGGCUCGUAGGCGGUUCGUCGCGUCGGGAGUGAAAACUCGGAGCUCAACUCCGAGCCUGCUUCCGAUACGGGCGGACUAGAGGUAGGCAGGGGAGAGCGGAACUCCUGGUGUAGCGGUGGAAUGCGCAGAUAUCAGGAAGAACACCGGUGGCGAA
rnacentral:rRNA from 1 species